rnacentral:rRNA from 1 species
GUGGGGAAUAUUGCACAAUGGGCGCAAGCCUGAUGCAGCCAUGCCGCGUGUAUGAAGAAGGCCUUCGGGUUGUAAAGUACUUUCAGCGGGGAGGAAGGGGUUAAGGUUAAUAACCUUAGCCAUUGACGUUACCCGCAGAAGAAGCACCGGCUAACUCCGUGCCAGCAGCCGCGGUAAUACGGAGGGUGCAAGCGUUAAUCGGAAUUACUGGGCGUAAAGCGCACGCAGGCGGUCUGUCAAGUCGGAUGUGAAAUCCCCGGGCUCAACCUGGGAACUGCAUUCGAAACUGGCAGGCUUGAGUCUCGUAGAGGGGGGUAGAAUUCCAGGUGUAGCGGUGAAAUGCGUAGAGAUCUGGAGGAAUACCGGUGGCGAAGGCGGCCCCCUGGACGAAGACUGACGCUCAGGUGCGAAAGCGUGGGGAGCAAACAGG